rnacentral:lncRNA from 1 species
AGAGGGCGGGAGAGAGGAAAGGAAGGAGGGCAUUGGGAGCUGAGGCCCCACCUUUCAUUUCAGAAAAGUGCACAGGCAGAGCGGGCUGAGUCACAGGCACAGGUGAGGAACUCAACUCAAACUCCUCUCUCUGGGAAAACGCGGUGCUUGCUCCUCCCGGAGUGGCCUUGGCAGGGUGUUGGAGCCCUCGGUCUGCCCCGUCCGGUCUCUGGGGCCAAGGCUGGGUUUCCCUCAUGUAUGGCAAGAGCUCUACUCGUGCGGUGCUUCUUCUCCUUGGCAUACAGCUCACAGCUCUUUGGCCUAUAGCAGCUGUGGAAAUUUAUACCUCCCGGGUGCUGGAGGCUGUUAAUGGGACAGAUGCUCGGUUAAAAUGCACUUUCUCCAGCUUUGCCCCUGUGGGUGAUGCUCUAACAGUGACCUGGAAUUUUCGUCCUCUAGACGGGGGACCUGAGCAGUUUGUAAGUAGAUUAUCAUCAUUUUCCAGGGUACUCUUGUUUAGGGAAAUAAUAAGCCAGUCCAUUUCUCCUUUCCCUUCCAGUAUUUUUCUUAGCAGCAAGCACAAGGUUAAGCUCGGAAACAAUUCUUGGGACAGAGACUGAGAGGCCGUUGAAGGGGAAAGCAAGUGACAGAGCUGCAGACAGGACAGUUGGGUUUGCUGGUGUUUCACUUCCGCUCCCACCAUCUUGGCCUCCUUGCCUGGGUGCUGAGUAAGAAGACCUUUUGCCAUUUCCCCUCUCUAGGUAUUCUACUACCACAUAGAUCCCUUCCAACCCAUGAGUGGGCGGUUUAAGGACCGGGUGUCUUGGGAUGGGAAUCCUGAGCGGUACGAUGCCUCCAUCCUUCUCUGGAAACUGCAGUUCGACGACAAUGGGACAUACACCUGCCAGGUGAAGAACCCACCUGAUGUU